rnacentral:rRNA from 1 species
AACGAACGCUGGCGGCAUGCCUAACACAUGCAAGUCGAACGAGACCUUCGGGUCUAGUGGCGCACGGGUGCGUAACGCGUGGGAACCUGCCCUUAGGUUCGGAAUAACUCCCCGAAAGGGGUGCUAAUACCGGAUAAUGUCCUCGGACCAAAGAUUUAUCGCCUUUGGAUGGGCCCGCGUUGGAUUAGCUAGUUGGUAGGGUAAAAGCCUACCAAGGCGACGAUCCAUAGCUGGUCUGAGAGGAUGAUCAGCCACACUGGGACUGAGACACGGCCCAGACUCCUACGGGAGGCAGCAGUGGGGAAUAUUGGACAAUGGGCGAAAGCCUGAUCCAGCAAUGCCGCGUGAGUGAUGAAGGCCUUAGGGUUGUAAAGCUCUUUUACCCGGGAUGAUAAUGACAGUACCGGGAGAAUAAGCUCCGGCUAACUUCGUG